GGAGGGGGCUAGCGUUGUUCGGAAUUAUUGGGCGUAAAGGGCGCGUAGGCGGCCGAUCAAGUCGGAGGUGAAAUCCCUCGGCUCAACUGAGGAAUUGCCUUCGAUACUGUUCGGCUUGAGUCCUGGAGAGGGUAGCGGAAUUCCCGGUGUAGCGGUGAAAUGCGUAGAGACCGGGAAGAACACCAGUGGCGAAGGCGGCUACCUGGACAGGUACUGACGCUGAAGCGCGAAAGCUAGGGGAGCAAACAGGAUUAGAUACCCUGGUAGUCCUAGCUGUAAACGAUGGGCACUUGGUGUUGCGGGUAUCGACCCCUGCAGUGCCGAAGCUAACGCAUUAAGUGCCCCGCCUGGGGAGUACGGACGCAAGGCUG
rnacentral:rRNA from 1 species